GACGAACGCUGGCGGCGUGCUUAACACAUGCAAGUCGAACGAAGUGGCGAACGGGUGAGUAACGCGUAAUCAACCUGCCCUUAAGCGGGGGACAACAGUUGGAAACGACUGCUAAUAUCGCAUACUGAAGGAGGGGAUUGCGUCUGAUUCGCUAGUUGGAGGGGUAACGGCCAACCAGGGCGAUGUGCAGUAGCCGGUGUGGAAGGAUGAACGGCCACAUUGGGACGGAGGCACGGCCCAGACUCCUACGGGGGGCAGCAGUGGGGAAUCUUCCGCAAUGGAGGAAAGUCUGACGGAGCAACGCCGCGUGAGUGAGGACGGCCUUCGGGUUGUAAAGCUCUGUUAAUCGGGACGCGGUACCGGAAUAGAAAGCCACGGCUAACUACGUGCCAGCAGCCGCGGUAAUAC
rnacentral:rRNA from 1 species